GAAGGCUUGGCGGUCCCGUUCGAACGGCCGGGUGCGCGGGUCGCUGGGAGAGGGGCCGCGGCCACCCACCCCCACCCCUGACGGCGCCGCCGCAGGCCCGGCCCGGCCCGGCCCGGCGAGGCGGGCCCAGGGCGGCCCCCCCCCCCCCCCCCCCCCCGGGCUGGCGGCGCCGCGCGCAGUUUGGAGGGGGUCUGUGGCGGCCGGGCCCCGCCGCUGAGGGGGCGCGAGCGCCCUGUGCCCCGCUCACGGGUCCAGAUGUGACUGUUGCGACAGAGAAGACUUACAGCAGGUGUCUCAUAACUAGAAGUCAUAUGGACAACGGCUGCUUUUGUGUUGCACAACUGAAUAGUGCCCUUCCCUGGCUCAGCGCCCGGUGCCAACAGAACACCUUGCAGGAUCCUCAGCAGCGCAGACAACCAGAGGCUGUAUGCAGCUGUGAUCCUGCCCUAUAAGAGCGGUAUUCCUUCCUUCCUUCGGCGUGCUAUUUGGAGACCUUCGUGCUCCCUUCUCGGAGUCUCUCCCAAGCUGCAGAAUUGGCAUCUUUCCCUGAGGUUGUCCGAAUGGCAAAUGGCAUCGUCUGUAGCUUGCAUUCUUGCAGCUUCUUAUGGCAUUUCUCUCUCGAUGUCGGCUACUCCCUUUUGUUUGUUGUUGACUGGGCUGGGUGUGGUUGGGGUUUUUUUUGGAGUUAAUUGUAAACGAACCUGAAUGGCAAACACGCCAACAGCUUGCGAAAAAGAAAAAAAGAAAAAAAAAAAAAAAAGCCCCACACAAACGCCUUCUGCUGCGACAGAUGCCCAUGUUGCCCCUGGCAUGGAGAAUGGGCACAAGGGGUUUGUUGUUGAGGUUUUCUCUGUUGCUGUUUUUAUUGUUCGCAUUUCCCUUUUCCCUUUAUUUUUAAAGACUCCAAGAUGCCGGCCUCGGCUUGGAACGGAGCGGUGUCAUGGCGGAGACGACGGCCUUUGUCUCACAGGGUGUGAAAGCAUCCGUUGUGCUGGCUCCACUGCGGCAGAAUGACGUUUAAAGGGGGGAAAAAGUGCUGAAAGUCCGAGUUGCGCGGCGCUGGCGGGGGAGCCCCCGGCCCCACAGCGGUGUGCGUCCGAGGAAGGGCUUGCAGUGGAGGAGCCUAGUCUGUAAUCCUGGCACUCGCGCCUCCGGUUGCUGCCUGCCGUUUGCUCCUGGGGGUCUGGAUAAUCUCCCUUGGCUUUACCGCACUGUCUGGCCCGCGCACAGGGCCCCCGUAACAUAUACCCGCUGCCGCGAUCGCAGGGAGCUGUGGCGUUGCCACUGAAUGGAUGGCACUGUGCCAACUCCGCUGCCAUCCGCCCUUGCAGCUCUUUUCCUCCCUCCUCCCUCCCGCUCUCCCCUCCUCCUCCUCCUCCUGUCGACUUGACGUUAAUUAACACACGGGUUAAUUGAUUUUAAAAGCUGAAGAAUUACAGUUAACUUUUCCCACAGGGUACGGACGCCAGCCGCUUGGCACGGUUCUGCUGCUUGUGCUGGUGCAGGGGGGCAGGGAAGAGCCCGCAGCAAAACCAGCAACUGCGGAGGGAUGGACGGACGGUCGUCCGCCUGUUGGAGUGCGGCUGGGGGUGGCUGACGUGCUCCUGCCUCGUCCUCCCGACAUGUCACCGCUAUAUUUUGCUAUAAACAAUCAAAGCAACCCCUCCCCUCACCUCUCCCACCCACCCUCCUUUCAGAAAAGCGAUUUCUCUCAAAGUUUAAGCAGGGAAGCUGUCCCCCCCAAAGGCUUAUCACAGCACAUAAAUGACCAGCCUCUGUGGGGUCUCCCACCGCAGGGCUCCGCACCCCAAGCACCCUGCAACUGCUGAGGUGGGGCAUCGGAGCACCGCUGUCUGUUAUAGGCUCAUCCUGUCUUCCAGGGCUCUUUUUCGUUUCCUUAAUUGGCUCAGAUAUAUCGCUUGGGGUGAAGCAUCUCAACCAGGGGAAAGUUAGUUCGUUGUAAUUACGAGAGAAAUAAACCAUGUGAGGGCUUUGUUUUUUUGCUUUUGCUCUCCCUCACCCCGAUCUCUGCCGCGAGUGAGAGUGACUGACGGUGUGGCUGGGAGGAGACGCAGCGAUGCUGGGAACUUGCUGCUUUCACCUUCCUGUGCUUUCAUUUUAUUUCAUUUUGUUUUUUAAAAGCAUGAAGCAAGUGAAGCGACGAGAGGAAUCCAUUAUGCAAAUCAGGUCACAUUUGCAUAAUGUCUCAUGACUGGAAUAUGCAAAUGAGUUGUAUAAUUUAUGAGUGCCAGUGUCUGUCUAAAAGUGUUUCCCAGAAUUCAUAAAAAGUGAGACGCGGGGAGGGCAGCUGGGCUGGCUGCCCUGCCAGGAGGGCUCUGCGCUUUCUUUUCAAAGUCUUCCUUGAGAUCAGCAGCUCAAACGCUCAUUAAUGAGAAACAAGCGCCCCUUUCCACCCUGUCCCCCUCGGUUUAUUUUCCGUCUCUCCCUCUGCCAAGCUCCCACCUGCUCCCUUCGAGCUUCUCCAGGGGGCAUUUGGCUGGUGCAGGGGAGCUGGGACUGCGAUGGCCGGGCAGUCCCGUGCAGGCUGGCUCAGCCUGGGUCUCGCUCUGGAUGUCUCUGGGGCUCUUACCAAGAGCAGAGACCCUGCCUUUCAGGCAAGCGAGCUCCAUGGGCACAGUGUGCGUCAGGGAGCUGCGCUGAGACGCUUGCCUCCAACAGGCAUGGUGGGAUUACUGCUUGUUUGCAGUGUGCUGCAUCUAACUUGUGCUCUGAGUCAGAGACCCGCGCCUGACCUUUGGAAGAGCUGCAAGGUCAGUCGGGGGCGGCAGUGCCAGUGGAGACAGACCUUGAGUUUCCUGCCCAGAGCCAGCAGUGUUCAGCUUCAGCACUGAAAAGGUUUCUGGAAUAUUUGGAAAUGCAGGACAGGUAUCAAGAUUCUUUUUCUUUCCGUUUUUUUUUUUCCCCUUCUCUGCAUAUUUGGAGAUCUUGGAGCACCAGGAGGAUGGAGGUAAGCUAUUUCACACAGGGACGCCGCUGCUCUGAGCGGUCUGUGCCGGGAGAGGGUAAAUAACAACAGGCACUGGCACGUGGAAAGCUGUGGCGUGGCUGUGACUGCGGCGUGGCUCUGGCGCGUGGACCACAGCCUUGCCCGCUCUGGGCAGCGUCCAGCGAGGAGCAGCAGGGUGGGUGAGCCCGGGGGUCGGGGCAGCUCAGCAUCAGCCUUCCUCAGCUCUGGGAGGUUCCUGAAAGGGCUUUUGGGCAAGAAAGCGUGAUUUGCUUUUCCUGAGAAUCUGCUUUUCAAUUGUAAAAACCAUAUGUGUUUCUCUCUUCGGUUUCAAAAAAAAAUUUUUUGUGUUAGUUACUGUCUAAACUGAUGAAUCGCUCACUUGCAAUCCAUUUCAAAAUAAUGUGAGUCUUUGUAUGGUUUUUUUAGUAGAUGCAGGACUUGACUCUGACAGUGGAUGUCAUACUGAACAUCUCCAGUACAAGGAGUAAAUUCAAAAAUUGUGUUUUUACCUGUUCCUGGUGUGGGAACACAAAAGGACACUCUGCGUUAGGUGACAGGAAGGCGAAACUGCCACACCUUCUGCCUUGGCAGCAAGUGAGAGGCAGCAGCACAUCCGGACUCCACAGCGUCUUUUGCUUAUGACUGCUCAACUUCGGUACCUUCCUCCUGCGCUGAAGGGAGGCUGUCCCCGUGCUGGUCCUCACCAGUGCGGUUAGCAAAGAGGUAGCUGAGCCUGACCUGGAGCCUGUGCCAGGAAAAGGACUGGAUCAGGGCCACCGGGAAUAACUGGUGUGUCCGCUGAGGGCAGUGGGAGGCAGGGUGUUUUGUGGGGAGCAGUGGGGCUGCAGCAGCUGGGAGGGGUGAGCUCCAUGGGAAAAAGUGGUAUGGUAGCCCCAGAGAACACCACGCAGCCGUGGGACCGGUGGCCACGCAGCGUCAGGGCCCUUUUUAACCUCGAGGGGAACCACCCUGCUUUGCUCAUCACAAAAGCUCCUGCAAGCUGGAAAGGAGAGGAGAGCAUCUGUGUACUUGUUAGGGUGUUUGGUGUAGCAUCAGCAGAUCCUGCACCGGGACUCGAGCUGGUUCUCCGGCUGGUACCUGUGGUGGGUGGUCUUUCAGGGCUGGCUGGCACCGAGGCCUGGGGUUGUGAGGUGGGAGGAGGACCGCUGUGGCUGUGGAGCAAUCUGCAGGCGCUGGAGGGAAUUCAGCCUCCGUUUGGGGAGAACACACAGCUCUGUCUGGAGCUCCCCCCUCCAUGGACAAGGUGCUGGUCCUGGUGCCCCCUCCCUGCCACUGCUUCUAACCCACAUGUCACAAGAAUAUCAGCAAAUGUGGGACAGCAGAAGCAACAGAAGCAACUCCUUUUCUUAGGGUACAGUGCACAGUCAGGUUUCCCUGCUACCUCACUUUCCAAGGCACCAGGCUCCCCGGGACCCCUGUCGUGCCAUCCUCCUCUGCCCUUGUGUCCCCAGGGAGAGCUGCCUGCUGGAAGACUCCCUCCCUUCCAGCGGGCAGAGCCUUCUGUCUAUGUGUCGCUUGCUGGUGUUUUUAAAGAACCACCAAAACUCAUGAACGUUCUCUUGGUUUUGAUGCUGCACUGAGGGCUGGUGAAUGUCCUGAGCUUUGUAUUUAGGGAUGAAACAGCUUCUUUGGGGUGGCAGAAUAAAAGCUUAUCCAGCAUAUGCACUGAAACUUCCAUAUCCACCAGACGAGGUUUUCUGGUCUUUGUGGGUCAGGUAACAAGGGGCGGUAGCAUGGGGAAUCCCUCACACAGUGUCACUCAUUUAUUGUCUGUGUUUCUGCUGAGGUGGUGUUUUUGUCAGCUGAACAGAGUGUACCUGACAGAUCCUUGUUGCUUUUUUCCAGUGUUCUCCUGUGCUUGGCCUCUGUGGUUCGCCAGCUGCGGUGUUGGAAGGAUUCCCUGCAGGCCCCUCCUUGAGACUUCCCUGGGCCUUUCUUGGCAGUUCUUGCUUUCCGUACCUCGAUGGAGCUGGAUGCUCAAGAGCAGAGGAUCUAUCAACUGCAGACCAAGCAGAGGGAGAGGCAGGCAGAACUGGAGCAGAAAUGCAGCCGGAUCCAGCAGCUCAGCCGGGACCUGGAGGCCAGUCACCAGCUGCAGGAGGAAGCUCAUAAACAGUAGCCAAGGACUGCUCUCUUGGUCAGUGUAAGAAGAGGGUAAAGAUACCACGGUGCUGCCCAGAGUACUCUGCCGGCCUCCAGCGAUCUGCAGCUCAGAGGCUUCAAAAGCAAAAGUGGGGUCUUGCUUUUAAUCAAUGCACGUCUACCCUAAAGUACCAGGCCCGCGUAACUCUAUGGGAAGAGCUCAGGAGCCUGCUACUCGCUGAAGCAAAACUGAGUGUCAGGUGAGGUAGAACCACUAGAAACAGCCCACGUGCGCCCUGCACUUGGACACGGAGCCUCCUUGGACAAAACACCCACGCCUGCUCAGUGUGGUCACCCUUUCACCCUUGUUGCAAGGAUCCCUUCUGAGAUCCACCUUCACUUACCACACCAAGCGCAAAGGCCAUUGUCAUGCAGGCUAUAAGACUGCUGACAGCCCGUGUGGCACAGGGACGGGCCCACGCACGCAGCUGACGCAGCCCGCACGGUUCAGUGCUGAAGAGCGGCCAGCUUCAUCGCUCAAGAGUUCUGCUGGGUGGCUCCUGCUCAGCACAGAUUCACAGAGUGAGCAGGAAGGGAUCAUGCAGUCUGACCUUCUGUACCUGCAGUCAAGAAAAUUUUGCCAUGUUACUGCUGAAUUCAGUAACGUGUUUGACAAAGGCAGCUUCAGAAGGUCAUUCAACUGGACUUGAAGACAUCAAGAGAUGGCAAAUGCAGUACUUCCUCUCGUGGCAGUCGAUCCCUUUGCACCACUCCUGACUUUCUUUUUUUGUCUGAUUAUUACUAUACAAUGUGGCUAAUGAAGCUUUCUAUACAGCA